rnacentral:sRNA from 1 species
AGCGGAGCGUUGUGGGCCAGUGCCUUCGGUGAAGUCGCUCGCCGGGUCGUUGGGCCCUGUCGACCUGUAGGCGGGCGAGCGAGCCAGCGGACAAGACUGCGGGUACAAAACUCAAAACAUGAACAACAAUAUAUAUUACCAAUCUUCAAACCUGAUUUGGCUAGAACUGGAAUACAGUUGCCUGCGACAUAUUUUAGAAGAACUAGAAAAGUCAAAGUAAUGGAUAACAGAAAAGAGCCUCCAUUCUUCAAUGAUGAUAACAUGGGACCAUUUUACUGCAGACUUCAUUUCUGUGAUACCAUGGAGCUCUUCAUUGAAACAUUAACUGGAACAUGUUUUGAGCUGAGAGUUUCACCUUUUGAAACUGUUAUUUCUGUGAAAGCAAAAAUUCGAAGAUUGGAAGGUAUUCCCAUCUGUCGACAACACUUAAUUUGGAAUAACAUGGAACUUGAAAAUGAUUAUUGCUUGAAUGAUUACAACAUUUCAGAAGGGUGUACCUUGAAGCUAGUUUUGGCUAUGCGUGGCGGACCUAUAAAUACUAGAAGAGAUCUUCAAAUCCCAAGAUUAUGAUCGUUUUGCAAAAUUCCAACAUUGCCUGUUUACCUGGUUUGUGAUGUGUCUGGGUUUCAUGGAUAUUAUCAUGGCCCCGGUUGCAUCCUUUCUCAGAAUAUAAGUAGUUCUGAAAUCCAGUCAUUCAUUCAACAAAUACGUAUUGAGCGUCUACUGAAUGGUCAGUGCAAUGUUCCAAGUAUGGUAGACAUGGGAGAGAAAGUCUCUGCUUCAUGACAGUGCCUACAAUAAAUGUGUAAAGAGUCGAUGUAACUCCUAAUGGUCGUAAGUGCUAUGCAGAAAAUAGGGUAGGAAGGGCCCUCGAAAAAGAUGACAUUAGUGGAGACUUGAUUGAUGAGAGGGUUUUAUUAAGCACAAGAAGAGACGGCAGUAUUCACAUUGGUCCCUGAGUCAGGUAUGUCACAUGAAUUCCCAUGAAGUGGAGGAGACUAGUCAGAGCGUCCUCUUCUGUGGACAUCAUUUUGAGGAAGUCCUUCAGAUUUAUUUGAUCCUUCACUAACCAGAAAACCGAAGGAUAAGUAUUGAUUCUACUCCUGGCUUGCUUCCACAUGUCAAAUUAUAUCCCUAUGUUUAAUAAUUUUGGUUAGAAAAUAGGAUUAUUGCCAUCUUUUUCUUAGCUACUUCAAGAGGAUUUAAUGAGAUAUGCUACUUUGGCUGUUGAACUGCUUUUUAUAGGUUAGAGAAAAACAAAGUUAAUAAUGUUAGGGCCUUUUAGCACUCCUGAUAUCAGAGACUUUUAAUUAAUUGGAUUUAGGUAAUUGUCCUAUGUGACAUUUAUAGUAAUAACUAUAAAUGUUUAUAGUAAUAACUAUGUGAUGUUUAUAGUAAUAACUCUUGAAGUAGCACAAGAACCCUAUGUUUACUGAGCCAUUAUGUUAAGAUAGAAUUAUAUAGUGUUUAAUGCCAUGUGAACUCUAUUGUAUUACAUUUUUGAAAGUUGGUUAUUUGUGCGUAGUACUACUUUAAACUAGAGUGUUUAAUCAAAACACCUACUUUUCUUAUUAGAACUAAAAUUAUUUUAUAUGUUUAUGAGGAGUGUGAUACAGAUUCUGAGGUAAAUAUAUAUAUUUUUUACUUUUCUUUUUUUUUUUUGAGACGGAGUCUUGCUCUGUCGCCGAGGCUGGAGUGCAGUGGCAUGAUCUCUGCUCACUUCAACCUCUGCCACCUGGGUUCAAGUGAUUCUCCUGCCUCAGCCUCCCGAGUAGCUGGGAUUACAGGCAGUGGUAUUGAGGUCAGGAGUUUGAGACCAGCUUGGCCAACAUGGUGAAACCCCAUCUCUACUAAAAAUACAAAAAUUAGCUGGGCAUGGUGGCGGGCUACUCAGGAGGCUGAGACACGAGAAUUGCUUGAACGUGGGAGACAGAGGUUACAGUGAGUGGAGACUGCGCCACUACAGUCCAGUCUGGGUAACAGAGUGAGACUCUGUCUC